CCUACGGGUGGCAGCAGUGAGGAAUAUUGGUCAAUGGGCGCGAGCCUGAACCAGCCAAGUCGCGUGAGGGAGGACGGCCCUACGGGUUGUAAACCUCUUUUGCCGGGGAGCAACGGGCGUCACGUGUGGCGCCACUGAGAGUACCCGGAGAAAAAGCAUCGGCUAACUCCGUGCCAGCAGCCGCGGUAAUACGGAGGUUGCGAGGGUUAUCCGGAUUUAUUGGGCUUAAGGGGUGCGUAGGCGGAUGGUUAAGUCAGUGGUAAAAUUGAGGGGCUAAACCCCUUCCCGCCAUUGAAACUGGCGCUCUUGAGUGGAAGAGAGGUAUGCGGAAUGCGUGGUGUAGCGGUGAAAUGCAUAGAUAUCACGCAGAACCCCGAUUGCGAAGGCAGCAUGCCGGCUUCCGACUGACGCUGAAGCACGAAAGCGUGGGGAUCGAACAGGAUUAGAUACCCCUGUAGUC
rnacentral:rRNA from 1 species